GACUUGUAACUCCUUAGCAGUGUUCUCUUGUAUUUCUUUAAGUGAUUUAUCAAAGUCCUUCUUGAUGUCCUCUACCAUCAUCAUGAGAUAUGCCUUUAAGUCUGGGUCUAGCUUUUCGAGUAUGUUGGGGUACCCAGGAUUGCCUGAGGUGGGAGUGCUGCGUUCUGAUGAUGAAACAAACUAAGACUGACAGGCCUUGAAGAGACUGCCCAAUUUUCAAAGGUAAUGAGCAAGUGGGAAGAUAAUGGAACCCGCCCACCCUGAUGGUCUGCACUAACAAGUGUGCAACAGAGACAGAGAAACCCCAUGAGCACCUGUGGAGGCUAAACUGGGAGUAUAGGAGAAGCUUUAAAGCCAACUCUAUCUGAACCAUUUUCAAGAAACACAUGCUCUCAGACUUCGAAAAAAGUCUGAGUGCAGACUGGCCCCUCCCAUAGAAAGAAAAUGGGCUUUCAGCCUUUCAACAGAGAAGUAAUUGACACAGGGUCCACCAUUAUAAAGAAGGCACCAUAGAGCUCUGAAAUCUGUCCUGGGAGGUGGUAACCAGGGAUUCGUUGAAACAAGUGAAUGUCAACUGAUGUUCCUUUCAUGGCAUGUGCCAUUGUAGUCCCAUUUAAAAUGACAUAUGACAAGUGACCAAA
ensembl:lincRNA Gm28237 predicted gene 28237